UCUGGUAGAUCUUGUCUGCGACGGCGUCGUUGGCCGGCCCUUGAAGAGGCAGAAGGACCCAUUUCGUGUUUUCUUUUCGAAAGCGUUUCCAAAUCUCGGCAAGGCUGUGCAGUCUGGCUGAGUGACUGCGCAGUAACUACUCUUGUCGGAUAGGAUUACGGGAGCAGGCCGGCGUGGACAUGAAGCCGCGGUGACCGACGAUGAGACGGCCCACCUGAGGAGACGUCACAGGUAAAUAUCGGCCCGUGCGAGUCGAGCAGGAUUUUGGCAAGAGGCCCCUGGAUGCAGAGUAAGCAAAGAAGCGGUCGUGCUGUCACUGACCCCGUUGGCGGCCGCCAUCUGCACGAUGACUUCAAUGGCCGUUUGGCUAAAGAAGCGUCCGUCACCCCCCACCACCAGCGCCGAACCCUGGCGGUCACGCAGGUCAAUGGAGGAGAAGAUACACUGGAUGAAAUUGUGCAGAUAGUUCCUCCUGGACUGGAAGACAUGAACCUUUCUUCUCAGACCAUCGCUCCCGGGUCUUUGGUCAGAGUAAGGGGUCGUAGGAACGGUCAGCACCCGCAGAGGACCCUUGUCCAUCUUUGUUUUGAAAUUUUGCCGGUGGCGGGCAAAGCUUGAGGGCCGCUGUUGUUUUGAGACAACGUAUUACAGCUCGGGACGGAACUGCUGGGUGAAAUUUUGACUCCUCCCAUUAUGUCCCCCUCUUCGCGGUGUGCACAGGGUGGCACUGGUCCAUACUGGACCCAAAAUAACCUUGCAUGUGCAGACGCAGGGCGAGUAACUGAAGACGCUCCUUCACACAUGUGCAGGGAGAUCACUGUCAAGACUCAAAGUUGUAUUUGGGUGUGUCUGCAUGCUCGGAAGCACGCCGGCAUGGAGGGAAAGCUGCUCACGACAAUGCAAAACACGCACGGCAUCUCACGUCCAAACAGAAGCGUUAGCAAUGAGCCGGGGCAUUACGAGAUCAGUGGAGAGAAAAUGAAAGGGGAUAGUUGCCUUAUACAAGGUCUUUACAAAACACAUUAUCAACUCUUAUAAUAGAUGCACAACGCCCGUUUAGAGGAAACACGGGCAUGCUAGCAAAUUGGAUGUAAUUCAGUCAAGUCCAACUGUGAUGAUGAACUCAGGAAAUGAGUCAGAGAUUGGAUGCAAUCCAUGAAAAGUAGUAAAUACAUGAAAAAAAGAACUACACUGCCCUCUGCAGUUCAUUCCCAGUAUCUACAACCGAAGAAACUAUUUAACAUUGCUGAGUUUCUUGAUUCUGUUUUCUGCAAACUAAAGAAAAGCAUCACGAGUCAGCACAAUAGUUUGUCUUUUUAUUCCAUCUGGAAUUAAAAUCCACCUCAUAAUAAAAGCUACGCAAAUUCUGAGUCUAUCUAUAGAUGCAGUAUUAUGCACCAUAUUGUAAUCAUCAGAACAACAUAUUCAAUUCAAAUA